AUUGCUUGUGUCUGAGUUGAGUAGUUGUGACAAAAAUUAUAUGGUCCACAAGGCUUGGAGUACUUACUGUCUGGUUCUUUACAGAAAAAAAAUUUGCUAACCUCUGCUCUAGAAUAUAAGGUUCUUAAUAAUAGGACUUGUUUUGAUUUUAGCUAAGUCCCCAGCCUGUAAAUCAUGAUUUUGCAUCUGUUAUUUUAAAAAUACUUGAAGGGUAAAAAAAAAAUGUAUAUAUGAAUAGGGUCUGUGUUUUGUUUUAGUUUCUGUUCUACUUCAGUUUCUUCUUGAAGACUUGCUUCUGAGCACAUGAAUGGUAUUGUGACUUUUCAGAAAGAUAGUUGUACCUGUAGCUCACCAUACCAUAUGCUACUGCUGAUUUGGCUCACCUGCGGUCAUUCUAGUCUUCAUAGAAGACUUGAAAUUUGAGAGACUUCCAGCGACAAAGCUACCUGAUCACCUGACAUAAUGGCAGAUGAAAAUCAAAGCAAAUACUGAAAAUGUCUCAAAAGAACAGAGUGUACUAGAAGAACAAAGUACUGAUCAAAUGUUUAUUUCCCUAAGCAAUUCCUAUCUGGAUUUUUUUUAUUAAGCAGACUAAAAUUCAUCUUAUUAUGAAUUGACUUUGGGUACUGAACUUAUUCUAAAAUACAUUUUCUUAAAGGAUGGUUGGAUUGAGCUAUGCUGGGCCUAUCUUAGUCUCAUUUUGGGGAAUGUUCGGUGCUCUAGAAAUGUUUUGGUGGUUUUGUUAUGAUGAAGGCUAAGUUGCUUUUGUAACACUCAGUGAUUACACUCAUUAGGUUGUGUGAUAAUGACAGUUUUCUGCAUUUCAGUAGAAAUGCAUGUGCCUUUGAACUUAUUUAACUACUAUACUAUUUUGUUCUUUUGAACUUUUAAUGGAUUGAUAGAUAAAUGGUGGAUAAAGUUGUUACUAAAGUUUGUAAACUUCUUUAAGUAUACACUUUGGCUUUCCAGUGUCUAAUCAUUGAAAAAUUAAGAAUAAUUUUUUAAUUCUUUCAAACAUAACUUUAUUUACUGAAUUUUAGUUUCUCAAACAAAACUAACUUG
rnacentral:lncRNA from 1 species